AAUACAGUUGAUCAACCUUAUCACUUUCUACCUUGCUAAAUUUGCUUAUUGUAUUUUUUUUUUGUGUAAAUCCAUUGAGAUUUUCUAUACAGAUAAUUGUAUUGUCUGAGAAUAGACACAGCUUUACCUUUACCAUGCCUUGCUGCCAUACUGGCUAGGAUUUCCAGAAUAAUGCUGAAUAGAAGCAGUGAAUUCAAAAAUCCUUGCCCCGUAGUUGAUUUCAGGGAAGAAGUAUUCAGUCUUUCACCAUUAAGUAUGAUAACAGCUGUAGGAUUUUUUGUAGAUGCCCAUUAUCAGGCUGAGAAAACUCCCUUCUAUUUCUAGUUUGUUGAAUCUUAUAAAACUUUAUGUGUUUUUAAUUCUAUCAAAUAUUUUGUGUGCAUCUAAUGAAAUGAUCAUAUAAUUUUUAUCCUUUAUUUUGUCAAUGUGGUAAAACAUGCUGAGAGCCAAAAUUCAUAAUGUUUAAAAUUAAUGAAUGAUGAAUUAGCAAUAAGUAUGAAUUUAGAAAUUUGGAGAUAAUCAGAAGAAGAAAUAGUGAAGAAAAAUUUGACAGUUUUUUAGGAGCAUGCCUACUUGGGAAUGGAAACUGGUUAAUAAAACUUUACACAAUACAAAUGUAAUGAUGGUAAUUUUUAAAAAGCCUUUUAUAAUAAUUCUUUAAACAUGAAAAUAAUAUUACAAAUUUUAAAAAUUAAAAAUAAGUUGAAGGGAAGAUGUGAAGAUGAUCUCUAUGAAGAUGUAGAGCUAAGGCUGGCUGGAGGGUCAAGGGUAGAGGAAAAAUGAAUUCAGCUUUAUUUUCAUGUUUCAGUGACAUACUCAGAAGACACUCCUCAUUCAGCUGGAUAUACUUGGCAGCAAGAGAGAGUUGAAGAAAAAGAUUUGGGAGAAACACCUGGAGCAGGCAGUAUGAAGUAAAGAAAUUCCAUUGUUUUAUCUCAGCUGAUGAAAGAGUUCAAGAAGAAAUGAUCAACAUGAACUGUAGAUACAAGAGAGCACUGAUUGAAUAUCCAUGUUAGUUAGUGGGUCAUUUAAAAGCUGAGAGCAGAAGAAAUUUUAGAAGUGUCUUUAAAAUUUUUUAUUUAACAGGGUACAGAAGGUGUGAUGAUUCAGAAGUAAUGAGUCAUUUAAAAAUAAUAAAACUAUUGCUUUGCCUGGAAAACAUAGGCAAUCAUUCAUGGAUGACUCAAUAUGGAAAUUGCUUCUAAGAGUCAAGAGGAAUACAAAACAGGUACCCAUAGAACUACUUGAUGGAUAAAAUGAUGAGACCUGGGAUAUUCAAUUUAUUUUUACUUCAAAUAUAGUUGAGAAAAUAAAUUGACAAAGGGAACUUGUCUCAAAAGGGAUUAUUUUCUGAUGUUCAAAGAAACUAUGUAUGUAAAAUGAAAGAAAAAUUAACACUUUAGAUUUAGUAAUAUAAUAAUAUUACUAAAAGUAAUAUAAUAAUAUUCCAAGAGCAGGCCUAAUUUGAGCAUAUAAAAUUAGGAAGUGCUUUAAAACUUACUUUUAUCUUUCUUACCGUAGAGGAAUAAAGUGUGGUUAAGGGAAAAGCAUCAGGUGGGCAGUAAGGAGCUCCUGGUCCAGCUUCAGCUUCUGUACUGUCUACUUUGGUAGUCUGAUAACUUGGUCAAGUCACUUCAGUCACCGAGAUUUCACCUUCUCCUCUGCGGGGUGGGAAAAAAAACAUGCUGAAAGAUGGCUUUGAGGUCCAGACAACAUGAGAAAAACAAAACUUGUUUUUUUUUCUUGGUUUCAAUUAGGGAAAUGUUAUAUUUUGCCAGCAAACUAUUUUUUAUUAUUUGAUGGAAGAUAAUGAACUGGCUAUUCAUAUUUAAUUGCAAAACUAUGGAUUUCCCUGAGAACUGACUCCAAAAUAAAAAUUUGUGGUUAAACUUAUAUAGUUUUGUAAUUAAAAAAAAUUCUCAGGCUAAGGGUGCAGCUCAAUGGUAAAGCACUUGUGUAGCUUUUGUGAGAACUCGAGUUCAAUGCCUAGUGCAUGUGUGUGCACACAAAAAAUUUCUAUUAUAUAUUCCAAAACAUCACAAUAGUUGUCUCUGUCUAGCUGAUAUUAUUUUAAAUCACACAUUUUCCUUUUCUAAGUAUUUUUCUUAAUUUGGAGAUCAUAUAAAAAUCAGAUAGCAUUCUCUAUGGGGAAAAAAUCCCUUGGACAGUUUAGAAGAACAUGUAUACUUUAAGCACAGUUUAAUAAACAUUUGAGUACUACCUCAGACUAGGUACUCUUCGAGAUAGCCCAAUUCUACAGUAUUACCUCAUGUAGCUCUCAGUAUGAGUGGGGAGAAAAAGAGGAUACCUAAUCUUUAGGUGGAGGAAAGAGUUCCAAGAGGAGGGACAACUAAACCCAGUCCUGUAGCACAGUAGAAGUAGUUGACCACAGGAAAGAAGGGGAAAUGCUGGGUGAGCAGAGGGAGCAAUAUAGAAGGUAGCAUGGGAUUUACCAGGAGUUUGGUUUUAUUAUUUAAGUGUCAAGCUGGCUUCCAGGAGCCAAAGCUAAAGGGGUAGGACAGAGGUAACUGCUUCAGAGAACUGUUUUUCAAAUGGAGAGGGAGGAGAAACAUGGUUGGAUUUAAACUGUAGGUAGAGCACUUUAUGUAGUACUGUGGAGGACAGACUUAGGAAAGCAAGACAAAGUGAAGUAAACCAGGUAGAAGGCCUCCGCAGACUCCAGAGAGAAUCCAUGAGGGGGUAACUGGCUUAAGUGACUAAUUCAUGAUCAGAAAACAAUGAGCAGAAUUUAUCUUUAAAUUCUGUGCCUUCCUACACCCUGGUGUAAGCACAAAUUCUGGCCAAAAUUGAAAAGAGAUCUUAAUUUUAUCUUUAUUAUGUAAACUAUGGAUAUAUUUCUUAAAAAUACUUCGUUCAUUAAUUUAUCUUAAGUACCAAAAUGUUCAGCACACUGCAGAAAACAAGUCAUCUUCUGUCUUGUAGGAAUUUAUGGGAUAAAAGAAAUGAGAAAAAAAGAAUAGGUAAAAUAAUUCAAUAGUUAUUUACUGAAAUCCUCCUGAACCCUGAUGGAGAUAACAUUUUAAAGACAGUUCCUUUUAGGACAUAAUUUUUAUGGCCUUCUUUGCUUUCCUGAGGAGUUCAUUGUGGCACAAGCGAACAGAGAAUUCACAGAGCCAAGUAGGCAAUUCUAGGGUAAAAUAAACAGAAGCACAGGGUCAGGGAAAAUUUGCUUGAAUGGGAUAAGAGAAAAAUCCCAAAGAAUGGUAUAGGUGGCAGUGAUAUGGAGAGGAGCCUGGAACUGACUUUGGCACAUGACAAAUGAUUUCUGGUUUUUGUUUUAAAUAGGUUUAAUCAUGAUAGAAGUAAUGACUAUAGAAGUAAGACAUACUGGAAUAAAGUCAGAAAGACAAAGAAAGCAACAAAGAUCAAAGAGGUAGUGUCAAUGUGACAAAAAAUAUCCUUUUUGGGUUUAAACAUAUAUAUAUAUAUAUACACACAUGAACAGGCAUGAGUUUUUUUGUGUAUUUCUUUAAAACAAAAGUGAGAUUAUAGCUUAUUUCCUGUUUUCCCCAUUUAGUAUGAACAAACUUCUUUCCAUGAAAAUAAAAAUCCAUUAUCACACAAACUUAUAUACAAUACUAAAUUUAUUUAUUCAAUUCUCUAUUAAGGUACACCAGGCUGUGUAAGAUACAGAAAGGAAGCAAGAAGCAAAUGCUAAAACUGACAACAGCUGUGAUAGGAUUCUGAAUUCUAAAGGUGGAAAGAGGUAGGAGAUAUAGAAGCUCAAGAGAUUUUAGUGCUCCAGACACAGAUGAAUAAUGUCUGAAACAGGAAUUCUUUGUGGAUGAAGAAUAAUUUCCAAAAGGAAAACAAAAAAAAAAAAAGAAAAAAGAAAGAAAGACUGUAACACACUAAAAAUGAAGUAAUUUCAAAUCUUCACAUCUGCAGAACAGAUAGAAUGUCAGAGAACUCAGACAACUAAAAAGAGUGGGUGGAAUGCCAGGAAAAAAAAAAAAAAAACAAGCGUUGUUCUAAUGAUCAUCCACAACCACAGUUUUGCAA